rnacentral:pre_miRNA from 1 species
UCUUACAGAUGAGCAAAGAAAGUGGCUUCUUGAGAUGGAAUCUACUCCUGAUGGAGAUGCUAUGAA